UAUAAGACGAGAAGACCCCAUGGAGCUUUAAACCUAGCCACACCCAGAAUCUUUAUACCUAACUAUUAUCUGAACCCUGUAAGCUAGGCUUUAGGUUGGGGUGACCGCGGAGUAAAACAAAACCUCCGCAAUGAACGAAACUACCGUCUUAUCUAAGAAUAACCCCUCUAAGAAUUAGCACUCUAACAUAAAUGAUCCAAUUAUUGAUCAACGGACCAAGUUACCCUGGGGAUAACAGCGCAAUCCACUUCAAGAGCUCCUAUCGA
rnacentral:rRNA from 1 species